rfam:Balearica pavonina gibbericeps contig20521, whole genome shotgun sequence.
CCAAAGGCUCUUUUAAGAGCCGCACACUUCCUUCUAAGAAGAGCUGU